GCCCCAGCCAGCAGCGCCCGCAGGCACCAGCCAAGAGACACCCCCGGGAGCGGGCCAGGCUCCACCACAGCUGCCAGUGCUGGGAGUGAGACAAACUUCGCACAGCAGUGCCUCAGUCUCAGCACCAGUGCCAGCAACAUGUCCAGCCCCAGCACCACAACACAAACCAACUGGCACAGGUAAAAAAGUCCUUGCCAUGAACGUUUUGGGGAUAGUGAAAUGGUUCCAUGUAAAAAUCAGAUACGGAAUGAUAACAAAGGAGAUGUGUUUGUUCAUCAGACUUUUAUAAAAAAGAGUAACCCAGGAAAUAUCUCCACAGUCUAGGAGAUGAAGAAAUUGUAGAAUUCAAUACAAUACAAGGAAGAAAAGGCUCCCAAGCAGCCGGUGUGACAGGACUUGGUGGAGUUCCAAUGCAAGGUAGUAAACAUGCACCAAACAGCAAACCUGCAAAAUAUUAUCCAUGUCACAGAAGUCCUCCACACAUCUACUAAGGAAAUAGGACCCAAAACAAACAACCAUCAAGCCCAUCAAGAGUCUAAAAGCUGAAAGGGCACAGACACUGAUGAGCUGUCCUGCAUACAAAAGUCCGCCUCCAUAAUGACUGAACCUUCCAAUUGGCUAAGUUCUACUUCUUCUAAUACCCUUCCUCAAUUCCUGUGGUCUCCCUGCCUCCCUCCCACUUUCCCCUUUUCCUUUCCAUUGUCCUAUUACCCCCUUUUUUAUGCUCCCACAAAUUCCUACCUCCCUUUCCCCUCUCCUAUGGUGUCCCUCCACUAAUCCCUUUCCCCAGAGUUCUUUCAUAAUACCAGAGGGAGCAUUACUGGGAGGGAAAGAAAGGAAAAUUUCCCUAAAGUAACCAUCUUCUUCUUAAAAGUUAAUAAUUUCUAUUUGGAGUUUCCAACAGGCAAGCCACCACCUACAUCACCUUAUACAGAGCCAGUCACAGCCAACAACACUGCCACAGGUGACAGAGAACCAGCCCCUGUUGAAGGAGCCUUCUCCUGAUUUGGUUUCCUGAUAAACUCUACUAACAAAACCCUGCAUCCAUCCUGCCAGCUCUAAGAACAUCUGUUUGGACACUGGGGACUCAGAAUUGUUUGCAUUUUGAAAAUUGUCUUAUGUGCGCUUUUGGUUGUUUUUGUCAUUUUGUGUUGAUUCAGUUGACCCUUCAGAGAAGCUUUUUAAUAAUAUAAAAAGGGGGAGUUGUAGAGGCCCUGGGGAGCAUUCCCUGGUUUAGCGAGACACAAGAACCUUCCCUCAAAAAGCUUUUUGACCCCAUUGGCUCCUUCCUUUGCUCCUGUGUCCCUUGGUCUCUUCCCUGGUUGGCCCUCAUCUUGGUACUGCCUCGAGACCAGGCAGUCUCGAGGUCCCCUGAGGUCCCUGAGGUCCCCUGGAGAUAGAGAAAGCUAGAUCCUCGAUGUGUGAGUGUCAAGGACUCUGAACAUCUCACUGGGUGGCUGAAUAAAAUAUCUGUGGAUAUUAUGCAAAGGCCCUUUUGGCUUCUUUAGCCUGGACUUUACUAGCACCCUUGAGCCUCAUUGCAGAGAGGUGGAUACAGAGUAUGGGAGACAUGAGGUAAGUUUAUCCCAACUGAGAACCCCCAUUCCUGCUUCUCUUCUUCCUCUUCCUUGUGAGGACUGGAUCUCCUCACUCUAGAGUCAGUAGCUGUUCUGACCCUGUCUGUUCUGUCUUCUGCUGACUGUGGUUGGUUUUCUCUUUGCUUGCACAAGUGAGCAGAAGUGAACUGGACUGCAAAAGGGCUAACAUCCCCAAAUCUCCCCCAAGAGUCCUGCUAUGUCUGUGUUGCAGCCCUUUCUCUGUCAUUCCAGCCCCGGGAGCUCUGGGCAUCGGUGACACCAUGCAGGUGACAGUGGGAUUUCUGCCACUACAGACUGGUGACCAUUCCAGGUCCCUUGUCAUGCUGGGACACUACUACAACACAGGUGAAGACACCCACACAAGCCUUCAUGGAAGAGCUGUGGAUGUCCCCAUCAGGCUGGACAGGAAUACUGUGACAGCUGAGAAGACAUACAUCACACUGUCACACCACGCAGCUGUGCUCAUCCACAACCAGAGUGAUAUCACAGCCCACUUCCAGUGGAAGCCUGUUGAUACUCAGGGAAGGGAGGAUCAGCUGAAGCUGAGGUAGGUUUGAAAAUUCCAUUCCAGUGAAAUACCUUGCCCAAGGGUAAAACUAAUGUAUGGCUUCAGUAGAUACUGGUGCUUUUGAAUGGCUUAGGGUAAGUAAACCAUCCUAUCUCUACCUGCCUCCCCCAAGCAGCUCUGUAUCAGGAAAAGCCACUUGGGGUGGCUGGUGGAUUUUCCCUCAGCUGUGGCAGAGGCUUUGAGCCACGAGGUUCUCUUGAGGGCUCCUGGCUUUGGAAACCUCUCCUGAGCUUGCAAGCGUGGAGUGAACAACAAGUGAUCCUCUGAUCCAUUUGGAAGCCCGUGGCUCAGUGACUGCAGGCUGUGUCAGGAGGAAAAGGACAAGUCUUCUGAUUUUCUGAAGGAGUGCAGAGUUGACAGUACUUGCCAAGUACACUUCGCUCUUCCCACCUGCAGCCUCCAGAGUGAGAGGCAAAGGUGCGAGGAGAUCCCAUGCUGUUCUGCAGUGGCAUUUUCUCCCUUGAGCUGAAGGACUGUGGUUGAGAACCAGAAAUGUGAUGUCUGAAGAGAAAUGUUUUGCUGUCUCCAUCUGCUUUAGGAGGGUGAGAUCAGGCCGAAUUGCUCGGCUGAAGUCAGCGUGUUCUUCACGCCCCAGGAAGUCCGGGUCUGUAAGUGAGCGGUUUACUGUGACAUCUCAGGUACAGCUGCUUCCCCUGCCUCUCUCACCGCGGUGAAGGCGAGGUGCAAAUACUCCCCCAGGUCACUGGGCUCCUGUGUGAUUGCUUGGAAGGGUCCAUGGUCAGCAGGUCAGUGCUGGCACAUGCCCACUGUCCCUGCAGCUUCCAGGGCAUCUCCUCUCUUUUGAUUUUUUCCCUCUCAGCUGUUCUGAAUGCUGCCUGUAUUUAGUGUGCUCUUCCUCCCAUGGGAGAAAUAGUCUCUGAGAUGCACCCAGAAGGAGGAAGAACAAAAUUUUCUGGCAUUUUCUACAGUUCCACUAUUUCCAAAGUUCCACGUGAUUUCCAAAUGGCCUUACUCAUAAUAGACCUCAUUUACUUUUCUUACUGGUCUGUGACUCCAUUAAAUAUUUCUUUACUGUUCAGGAUUGCAGACAUUAAGCAGAAAAAAUUAUUCUUAAAAAAACCCACUAUGCCUAUUUCUAUAGCUGUAUGAUGGGAAUGACCUGUUUUCUUCUCCAGUGGAACUGCUGACCUUGUGAACUGAGCUGAGGAUAAAGAAAUUGAAUCAUCAUUAUAUUCUGUAGAAUGUGUGCCUUGAGAAGUUCAGUCCUGAAAUUCUUUCUGAAACUGGGACGCUCUUUGAAAAACCUACUGAGUGAUAAGAACCUUGAGGAUUGCCAUUGGCACAGCUCAUUUACCAAUAAAGAAGGGAAAAGAAUGUUCUAUGUGAAGAAAUCUGUGAAGGCUGAGCUCUCUACCCAGGCAUGGUGCCAAUUUCAUGAGAUCCUGCAGAGUUUUCUCACAGAUUAAGCUUUUCAGGACAGAGAACUGGAUUCUGUCCACCUCUGUUGAGCACCUGGAGCUUUUAUAGACAGCCUUAACGACUACCUGAAAUCCUACCAUGUCCCUUGCCACUGGAAUUGGAUAGCUAAUACUCUAAACCCAUAUCAUGAAGUGAAUGACACCCUUAUGAUGAUCAUGGAUGACAGUCUGAUAGCAAACAUGUUACCUUGGUGGUACUUUGGCCCAGAUAACACUGGCAGACUCGUAGAGAGAAGACUCUUGAUCAGGUGUGAGAUGUAUAACACUGAUUAUGUGGACCAUUAUGAUUAAACUUACUGCUAAUACAGUAUCUACAUAUUGUCAGUGCAGUAUAAAAUAUAAGUAGGUCUAAAGGGCUAUAAUAUAAGCAGGUUUGGCUAGAAACCUGCACGUUUACAGUCUUUGGCACUGCAGAACUCACAGGGACAAAGCAACAAGCACCUAUGGAGCUACUUCAGGAUUUUAUCUCCAGACAUGACCGGAUCUUAGCUGGAUCUGCAGUCAGAGGCACCAGGAAGCCUGCUGGGGUGUGCAAGGAGCUCAAGAGACCCAGGGGGAGGGUGGCACCAUGUUGUUGCUCGCUCCUUACACGGGAUACUAAUUGAAUAGAGGGUGUCAGUCCCUUAUCUAAGAACUUUCAUACCUUUCCCCUGACUGACAGUGGACUCAAAAGGUUGAUGCCGAAGAUAGUAGCAAACAUCAGCAGUGUAUUAAAGCCUUCUGCCUUUUCUCUGUGGCAAUCCCAUGAGCAGCACCACACAACACAGGCUCCUUCCUCUCACAGCACGACCUGCUAGCUCCAACAGCACCACCUCUCUCCUCCUAGCUCUUUAUACCUUUUCUCUCACAUGCAUAACACGUGUGACCCUUCACUCUUUUGUAGUUGGACUGAGGGCCCUAGAACUGGACACAGCACUGCAGGCUCUGGCAGGUCUCUGGUCCUAUUUAUCUCACUGCAAGCAAGGAAAUCUUCAAGCUUUUGAACAAAGCACACUUUUGCUCAGAACAAAUCUAGAAUUCACCAUGUCUGUUUUUCUAAUGGACAACUCUACACAGCAGUGUCUGUUUCUCUGGAACUGAUUUCCACCAGCUGCAGAUUCACAAUGCCCAAAUGUAAAUGGAAUGCCUUUCUAUCCUGAAUUCCACAAUACAUCUCCAGCAACCAUAUAACUGCCCACCAGAAAAUAGUGAUCCAUCUGCCUGCCCUGCUUAAUAAGCCUUAAUGUUUAAGAAGUAAAUGAAUUAUUUAAUAUUUACAGAAAUCAGGCUGUGCCACUGCCAAAUGCAAAAUGGUCAACAGAGCAUGCACAGCUGCAUUUCUGCCUCUGUGGAUGAAGCUGAGGAACUCUCUGAUGCCAGACACUUUCUGCAAUCAGUAUUUCUUAAUGGGCAACCUUCAAGAGCAGAAAGUCAAAAUGAGGAUAAAUACCACAGCAAAUUCUAAUCAUUAAAAUUAUGUUAUAGAUUUAAAUUACAGGAAUAUGUUUGGAAGACAGUUCUAAGAGCAAUGAGAUCUAAACAGUUGUCACCUUUACUUUGUAGCCUGUCACAAUCCAUCCUUAGGAAUUGGUUUCAUGAUGGUUCUUUAAUUGAUCUCAGGGUGCAAAAAACCAGCAUGGCAAGGGGAUUUGCAGUGAUAAUCAAAAACAAAGGCACCUUUAUUGAAUGAGCACAGAAAAAUGCAUUAGGGGGGAUUGGGGAAAAAGGGAAGAACAGGGAAAAGAGAGGGAGGAAGAGAAAGGAAGGUAUAUAGCUACCAAAUGUAGAGAGACAAAGUCCUUUGAGGUCUUCAGUCAACAGAGUUCGCCUGGUCAUGUCAGGGGAGAUCUCAGAAAUACUAGUCAACUCAAGCUUCUAUUAUAGUCCUUUUUGGAAGGAGAAGGGGACAAGUCUUGAAACUGAAUCAAAUGUAAUAAAGAACAGUCUACUGAAAAAGGGUACAAAUAGUUCAUCUUCUCAGCAGUAGGCGAGAACCAUUGUCUUCUUGGUCCAAUGGUCACACCUGGAAGCAAACAUCUCACUUUGGUCACCUCCCCCUUACACCUCCCUCAAGUUAGGGGUUCUAUUCUCAGUCUUUGGGAGGAAGCGGAGGUCCUCCAUAUAGGGGUUUCGUGUCUCAGUCCUUGAAGGGGAGGCUUCUCCCAUCUCAGUCUGUUUAUCACAGUGGUUGUAAAACAGAUGAAGGGUCUUCCAUGGGGACCACCAGAAGUUACCUCAUAAAAGUCCAGCCAAGAUGAGAGGGGGGGAAAUUCCAGGGCUAUUGUUGCAAAACGGGUGCAGGCGAAAAAGGACACGGUACCCCUUUUCAUUAGGUUUAGUGGUCCAUGGCAGCAAACACACCUGCAAACAAUAGCUUGGCAAGCCAGAGGCUCUGCUUAGGCCUCAGGAUCUUGUCAGGCAACCAAUUCAAGCAAAACCAGAAUUCCAAUCAAGGUCUUUUCGGUGGUCGCAAUUUCUGUCCUUUUCACGACGAUCAUGAGGCAGAUGAGAGAAACUUCGAACAGAGACUUACACAGCCCUGCAGAGCUCAUUCCAGGCUAAGAGGCUCUCACAGAUCCAGAGGUCUUAAUGCAUUUUAGCCCUUUCCAGCCUGACAGUUGUAGAGAAUGUGCUUCAUCCCCUGCACAUACCUUAUUUCUUUUCCUAAAGUCAGGAGCCGGUUGAUGCCACCUGCAUAACAUCAAUUUCCUUUCUUUUAAUAGUAUUCCUAGUUUUCCAAACACUAAUGAGUAUUCAUUUACAUAUAUUGUUCAUUCAUCUGUUACUGCAUUUCUAAUUUAACAGUUAAUAGCUGAGGUCCACUAAUAAUGCAUUCUGUAGGACUUCCAUUUUUAUCACUGAAACCUGGCAAUAAACUGUAGCAAUCCCAUUUUAUUCAAUUUGCCUCCCAUAAACACUGCAAAUCGGUACUGUGGGUGAUCUACAAAGAUGCUGCUCUUAAAGUUACAUGUCAAUAUUUUAAGAACAAUUAAGAAUAUAGUCUAAACUUUAAGGUCACUUCCCAUCCAAACCAUUCUGUGAGUCUGUGAUCUUCAAUACAAGAUAUGUUCCAGUGUAAUAGAGUGGAGAGCAAGCGAAACAGGCCAAUAAAUAACUAUCAUGGGACACUCUAAAUGAUUACAGAUCCCAGGACCUGAAGAAGUAAA